rnacentral:piRNA from 1 species
UAAAUAGAUAGCACUUGAGGAUUGAC